rnacentral:ribozyme from 1 species
UGGCCAGAAACACCUAUCCCUACCCCCGCGUGGCACCAGCUGGAAACUAUGAGCAACCUUAGGAAGAUUGGAUAACCAACACCGGUGGGAACUUUGGUCGUAGGCUGACAGGGAAGG